GAUGAACGCUAGCUACAGGCUUAACACAUGCAAGUCGAGGGGCGGCAUGAACAAAGCUUGCUUUGUUUGAUGGCGACCGGCGCACGGGUGCGUAACACGUAUCCAAUCUGCCCGCGGCUCGGGGAUAGCCCAUCGAAAGAUGGAUUAAUACCCGAUGGCGUGGUCACCCCGCAUGGGGUUUCCACUAAAGGUUUUCCGGCCGCGGAUGAGGAUGCGUAUGAUUAGGUAGUAGGCGGGGUAACGGCCCACCUAGCCUUCGAUCAUUAGGGGUUCUGAGAGGAAGGUCCCCCACACUGGAACUGAGACACGGUCCAGACUCCUACGGGAGGCAGCAGUGAGGAAUAUUGGUCAAUGGGCGAGAGCCUGAACCAGCCAAGUAGCGUGAAGGAAGACUGCCCUAUGGGUUGUAAACUUCUUUUGUUCGGGAAUAAAGUGCAGUAUGUAUACUGUUUUGUAUGUACCGUUCGAAUAAGCAUCGGCUAAUUCCGUGCCAGCCGCCGCGGUAAGAC
rnacentral:rRNA from 1 species